AUUUGUAGCCAAGCCUCCCUGUCAAAGCCUGAUCUCAUCAGAUCUCUGAAGCUAAGCAGCGCAGGGUCUGGUUAGUGCUUGGAUAGGAGACCACAGUGUGACUCCAGUGAGAGAAACU
rnacentral:rRNA from 1 species